UUAACUUGCACGUUGUCGGCCUAAAUGUCUCGACCCCGAAGGUGUUCCUCGUACCUCGACGAUGACCCCAGGUCAGGCGAGAUCACCUACUGAGUUUAAGCAUAUCAAUAAGUGAAGGAAAAGAAACUUACAAGGAUUUUCCUAGUAACGACGAUCGAACCGACAAAAGCCCAACUUGAGAAUCGAAUGGCCCUACCAUUUGAAUUGUAUUCUGGAGAAACAUCCUCAAUGACGGACUGAGCUCAAGUCCUUUGGAAAGGGACGCCAGAAAGGGUGAGAGCCCCAUUGUGCUCAAACCCUACCGCACGAUGAGGUGCUGUCGACCAGUCAGAUUGUUUGGGAAUGCAGCCCAAUUGGGCUGUAAAUUUCAUCCAAUACUAAAUACGGGCGAGAGACCGAUAGCGAACAAGUACCGUGAGGGAAAGAUGAAAAGAACUUUGAAAAAAGAGUCAAAGAGUGCUUGAAAUUGUCCGAAGAGAAGCGAAUGGGGUCAGUGAUGCAUCUCGAUAGGAUGUGGAAUGACAACAAGUUGGUCUGUUGAUCGACUCGUGGUGUGGACCAGCACAAAUUGAGGAGAUAACCAAAGCUUAGGCAGUUGACAUGCCCAUGAAAUGUCAUUGUCCCGAUUGUGGGGGACAGCGCGUGCCCUCAGCAUGCCUCAACACCUGCGUGCUCCCUAUGCUGGCCUACGGGCUCCCCAUUCGACUCAUCUUGAAACACUGACCAAGGAGUUUGACAUGUGUGCGAGUCAAUGGCCGAGUAAACCAGUAAGCUGCAAGAAAGUUGAAUGGCGUGAUCCCCUCGAGGGGUGCAACACCGAUCGACCUCGAUCUUCUGAGAAGGGUUUAAGUGGGAGCAUACAUGUUAGGACCCGAAAGAUGGUGAACUAUGCCAGAGAGGAUCGAAGCCAGAAAAAAAUUUGGUGGAGGCUGGCAGUGAUACUAAUGUGCAAAUCAUUCAUCUGACAUAGGUAUAGGGACGAAAGACUAAUCGAACCAUCUAGUGGCUGGUUCCCUCCGAAGUUUUCCUCAGGAUACCUGGAGCUUAGACGCGAGUUCUAUUAGGUAAAGUCAAUGAUUAGAGGCAUCCAGGGCGCAACAUCCUCAGCCUAUUCUCAAACUUUAAAUACGUAGGACGGUGCAGCUGCUUUGUUGAACUGCUCCAUGAAAUCGAGAGCUCCAAAUGGGUCAUUUUUGGUAAGUAGAACUGGCAAUGUGGGAUGAACCGAAAGUCCAUUUAUGGUGCCCAACUGUAUGCAAACUAGAUCCCACAAAGGGUGUUGGUCGAUUAAGACAAUAGGACGGUGGUCAUGGAAGUCGAAAUCCGUAAAGAAGUUUGUAACAACUCACCUAUCGAAUCAACAAGCCCCAAAAAUGGAUAGUACUGAAGUGCGUGACUUAUACCCGAUGGUUGACGAGAAUGUUAGGGAGUCCGGAGACGUCAUCGAGGGCCUUAGAAAGAGUUAUCUUUUUCGUUUAAUAGCCUGUCCACCCUAGAAAUGGCUCAAUCGGAGGUAGGGUUCAGCGACUGGAAAAGCAUCGCACGUCUCGUGAUGUCCGGUGCGCCCCCGACGACACUUGGAAAUCUAGAAGACCGAGUACCAUCUGCACUCAGUCGUACUCAUAAUUGCAUCAAGUCUCCAAGGUAAAAAACCUCUGGCCAAUGGAACAAUGUAGGCAAGAGAAGUCAGUAAAAUGGAUCUGUAAGCUCGAGAAAAGGAUUGGCUCUGAGGGAUGGGCAUGGGGGUCCCAGUCCUGAACCCAUCGACUGUCGAUGGACUAUUCGAUCUGCUCCCGCGAUGAAAGCGAGCAGACGCAUGCCGAUCGGGGGAUGGACUGGGAACAUUUCCUUCGAGGGCCUUCUCUGGGCAUCAAACGGUCGACUAAGAACUAGUAUAGAUAAGGGGACUCCGACUGUUUAAUUAAAACAAAGCAUUGCGAUGGUACCCGUGGAUGCUCACGCAACUUGAUUUCUGCCCAGUCCUCCGAAUGUCAAAGUGAAGAAAUUCAACCAAGCACAGGUAAACGGUGGGAGUAACUGAUGCGAACCCCGUAGCAAUGGAAACUAUGAAACCCACAAUGAGAUUGAUGCAGAACCUAAGAACGCCAAUACUAACCCAGUUUUGGAUCUCGAACCCCAAGAAUUGAACCAAGAAACCUUAGAUUAGCGAAGAAC
rnacentral:rRNA from 1 species